UCCAGCAACUCUCGCCUCCCCUGAUUUAG
rnacentral:piRNA from 1 species